rnacentral:rRNA from 1 species
GGUUAAGCGACUAAGCGUACACGGUGGAUGCCCUGGCAGUCAGAGGCGAUGAAGGACGUGCUAAUCUGCGAAAAGCGUCGGUAAGGUGAUAUGAACCGUUAUAACCGGCGAUGUCCGAAUGGGGAAACCCAGUGCAAUUCGUUGCACUAUCGUUAACUGAAUACAUAGGUUAACGAGGCGAACCGGGGGAACUGAAACAUCUAAGUACCCCGAGGAAAAGAAAUCAACCGAGAUUCCCCCAGUAGCGGCGAGCGAACGGGGAGCAGCCCAGAGUCUGAAUCAGCUUGUGUGUUAGUGGAACGGUCUGGAAAGUCCGACGGUACAGGGUGAUAGUCCCGUACACCAAAAUGCACAGGCUGUGAACUCGAAGAGUAGGGCGGGACACGUGGUAUCCUGUCUGAAUAUGGGGGGACCAUCCUCCAAGGCUAAAUACUCCUGACUGACCGAUAGUGAACCAGUACCGUGAGGGAAAGGCGAAAAGAACCCCGGCGAGGGGAGUGAAAAAGAACCUGAAACCGUGUACGUACAAGCAGUGGGAGCACCUUCGGGUGUGACUGCGUCCCUUUGUAUAAUGGGUCAGCGACUUAUAUUCUGUAGCAAGGUUAACCGUAUAGGGGAGCCGCAGGGAAACCGAGUCUUAACUGGGCGUUAAGUUGCAGGGUAUAGACCCGAAACCCGGUGAUCUAGCCAUGGGCAGGUUGAAGGUUGGGUAACACUAACUGGAGGACCGAACCGACUAAUGUUGAAAAAUUAGCGGAUGACUAGUGCCUGUGCGUGAAAGGCCAAUCAAACCGGGAGAUAGCUGGUUCUCCCCGAAAGCUAUUUAGGUAGCGCCUCGUGAACUCAUCUUCGGGGGUAGAGCACUGUUUCGGCUAGGGGGUCAUCCCGACUUACCAACCCGAUGCAAACUACGAAUACCGAAGAAUGUUAUCACGGGAGACACACGGCGGGUGCUAACGUCCGUCGUGAAGAGGGAAACAACCCAGACCGCCAGCUAAGGUCCCAAAGUCAUGGUUAAGUGGGAAACGAUGUGGGAAGGCACAGACAGCCAGGAUGUUGGCUUAGAAGCAGCCAUCAUUUAAAGAAAGCGUAAUAGCUCACUGGUCGAGUCGGCCUGCGCGGAAGAUGUAACGGGGCUAAACCAUGCACCGAAGCUGCGGCAGCGACACUAUGUGUUGUUGGGUAGGGGAGCGUUCUGUAAGCCUGCGAAGGUGUGCUGUGAGGCAUGCUGGAGGUAUCAGAAGUGCGAAUGCUGACAUAAGUAACGAUAAAGCGGGUGAAAAGCCCGCUCGCCGGAAGACCAAGGGUUCCUGUCCAACGUUAAUCGGGGCAGGGUGAGUCGACCCCUAAGGCGAGGCCGAAAGGCGUAGUCGAUGGGAAACAGGUUAAUAUUCCUGUACUUGGUGUUACUGCGAAGGGGGGACGGAGAAGGCUAUGUUAGCCGGGCGACGGUUGUCCCGGUUUAAGCAUGUAGGCUGAUUGUCCAGGCAAAUCCGGAUAAUCAAGGCUGAGGUGUGAUGACGAGGCACUACGGUGCUGAAGUAACAAAUGCCCUGCUUCCAGGAAAAGCCUCUAAGCAUCAGGUAACAUUAAAUCGUACCCCAAACCGACACAGGUGGUCAGGUAGAGAAUACCAAGGCGCUUGAGAGAACUCGGGUGAAGGAACUAGGCAAAAUGGUGCCGUAACUUCGGGAGAAGGCACGCUGGUGUGUAGGUGAAGUCCCUGCGGAUGGAGCUGAGACCAGUCGAAGAUACCAGCUGGCUGCAACUGUUUAUUAAAAACACAGCACUGUGCAAACACGAAAGUGGACGUAUACGGUGUGACGCCUGCCCGGUGCCGGAAGGUUAAUUGAUGGGGUUAUCCGUAAGGAGAAGCUCUUGAUCGAAGCCCCGGUAAACGGCGGCCGUAACUAUAACGGUCCUAAGGUAGCGAAAUUCCUUGUCGGGUAAGUUCCGACCUGCACGAAUGGCGUAAUGAUGGCCAGGCUGUCUCCACCCGAGACUCAGUGAAAUUGAACUCGCUGUGAAGAUGCAGUGUACCCGCGGCAAGACGGAAAGACCCCGUGAACCUUUACUAUAGCUUGACACUGAACAUUGAGCCUUGAUGUGUAGGAUAGGUGGGAGGCUUUGAAGCGUGGACGCCAGUCUGCGUGGAGCCAACCUUGAAAUACCACCCUUUAAUGUUUGAUGUUCUAACGUUGGCCCCUGACCGGGGUUGCGGACAGUGUCUGGUGGGUAGUUUGACUGGGGCGGUCUCCUCCCAAAGCGUAACGGAGGAGCACGAAGGUUAGCUAAUCCUGGUCGGACAUCAGGAGGUUAGUGCAAUGGCAUAAGCUAGCUUGACUGCGAGCGUGACGGCGCGAGCAGGUGCGAAAGCAGGUCAUAGUGAUCCGGUGGUUCUGAAUGGAAGGGCCAUCGCUCAACGGAUAAAAGGUACUCCGGGGAUAACAGGCUGAUACCGCCCAAGAGUUCAUAUCGACGGCGGUGUUUGGCACCUCGAUGUCGGCUCAUCACAUCCUGGGGCUGAAGUAGGUCCCAAGGGUAUGGCUGUUCGCCAUUUAAAGUGGUACGCGAGCUGGGUUUAGAACGUCGUGAGACAGUUCGGUCCCUAUCUGCCGUGGGCGCUGGAGAAUUGAGGGGGGCUGCUCCUAGUACGAGAGGACCGGAGUGGACGCAUCACUGGUGUUCGGGUUGUCAUGCCAAUGGCACUGCCCGGUAGCUAAAUGCGGAAGAGAUAAGUGCUGAAAGCAUCUAAGCACGAAACUUGCCCCGAGAUGAGUUCUCCCUGAGACUUUAAGUCUCCUGAAGGAACGUUAAAGACGAUGACGUUGAUAGGCCGGGUGUGUAAGCGCAGCGAUGCGUUGAGCUAACCGGUACUAAUGAACCGUGAGGCUUAACCUU